rnacentral:rRNA from 1 species
AGCAGCCGCGGUAAUUCCAGCUCCAAUAGCGUAUAUUAAAGUUGUUGCGGUUAAAAAGCUCGUAGUUGAAUUUCGGGAUUGACACAUCGGUCGUGCCUUAAGGGGUAUGAACUGGUGUAGUCAAUUUCUCACCUUCUGGAGAACCGCGAUGCCCUUAAUUGGGUGUCGCGGGGAACCAGGACCUUUACUUUGAAAAAUUAGAGUGUUUAAAGCAGGCAUUUUGCUUGAAUACAUUAGCAUGGAAUAAUAAAAUAGGACGGCAUGAUUCUAUUUUGUUGGUUUCUAGGAUCACCGUAAUGAUUAAUAGGGAUAGUUGGGGGCAUUAGUACUCAAUUGUCAGAGGUGAAAUUCUUGGAUUUAUUGAAGACUAACUACUGCGAAAGCAUUUGCCAAGGAUGUUUUCAUUAAUCAAGAACGAAAGUUAGGGGAUCGAAGACGAUCAGAUACCGUCGUAGUCUUAACCAUAAACUAUGCCGACUAGGAAUCAGACGAUGUUAAUUUUUAAUGACUCGUUGCACCU